GUGACUUAAAACAAGCCUUAAAAACCCUAAACCCGAAAUCCUCUGUAUUCGCAUCUUCUCUAUCUCUCCUCUCAUUUUAGGUUUUGUCUACCAUCGAAGAAGCAACAAAGUUUUCGAGGUUCUUGAUCUUUGCUUCGGACUUAUAUAAAAAUGAUUUUGCCUUUUUGGUUUAGUGAAUGAAGAAAUCGUGAAAGUCUAAUUCUGCCUGGGAUUAAGGAGUGUAUUGAGCUAAAAAUGGCUCUAAUACAAUUUGGAAGUACGUUUGUUGCUCAAUUUGCAGUGAAAGGUUAUUAUCCGAGCAGAGUCGAAUCAGCCCGCCAUCAAAAUUCCAUGAGGAGCCAAAUAAACUAUUUGGGAGCUUCAAAGUCUAGUAUGUUCUUACAUGGGUUCCUUGACCUUCUUGUCGAUGUCGGGAAUGUCCAGAAAUAUGCAGAACCGCAGAGGAUCUCGCUUCACUGUUAGAGCUGAUUCGGUGCUUGGUCCUGUUCUCUAGCAUUUGCAGAAUCUUAUCGGAAGCUGGCUCUUAGUUACCAUCCAGAUGUGAACAAGGAUCCUGAUGCAGUAUACUCUACACUUGCAAGAUGUUUUAUAUCAAUGCGAUUUUAGGGACGACAUGGACACAACAGAGCACGACUCUGGUGAUGGAGAAAAACGGAGUUCCGGUAUUGAAGAAGGGAUCAGUUGGCGUGACUGCAAGUGGAGAUACCUACGAGAUUGAGGGAAAAGAGGAGAAGAAGAUUCGUUAUAGUUACUCUGAGAUUGUGAAAUCAAUCUUUCUCUUACAAAAGUGUAUCUUCAUAAGGUUGGUUUAUAAGUUGUAACAAGGCAACUUUUUGUGAUGAUUCCAAAAUGUUUUUAAGUAGUUGGCAUCACCUCUCUCCAUCAUGAUUCCAGGAUCUUUUUUUCUUUCGAUUUCUUGUAUGUUUAUAGAAAUGUUAAUCAUGUGGCUGAUGUAUUAGCAAAACAAGACCAGCUUUCAAGGUGUAGAAAGUAGUUCUUUUGGUUUGAUAAGUUAAAAAGUUCUAAA